UGGGGAAUUUUGGACAAUGGGGGAAACCCUGAUCCAGCCAUCCCGCGUGUGCGAUGAAGGCCUUCGGGUUGUAAAGCACUUUUGGCAGGAAAGAAACGUCAUGGGUUAAUACCCCGUGAAACUGACGGUACCUGCAGAAUAAGCACCGGCUAACUACGUGCCAGCAGCCGCGGUAAUACGUAGGGUGCAAGCGUUAAUCGGAAUUACUGGUCGUAAAGCGUGCGCAGGCGGUUCGGAAAGAAAGAUGUGAAAUCCCAGAGCUCAACUUUGGAACUGCAUUUUUAACUACCGGGCUAGAGUGUGUCAGAGGGAGGUGGAAUUCCGCGUGUAGCAGUGAAAUGCGUAGAUAUGCGGAGGAACACCGAUGGCGAAGGCAGCCUCCUGGGAUAACACUGACGCUCAUGCACGAAAGCGUGGGGAGCAAACAGG
rnacentral:rRNA from 1 species